rnacentral:SRP_RNA from 15 species
GCAGCGUCAACGUGUGCCGGCUCCAGUCGGUGGACGGAUCACGAGGGCAACUCGGAGCAUUGGGCCGAC